rnacentral:ncRNA from 1 species
UUUCUGAGUUUGUGAUCGGACAACAGGCCUUUAACAUUCUGUCAUCACAAAGGAGCAAUAAAUGUUAACUGCCGAAGCCAAAGCAAAAAUCGUCGCCGAGUAUGGCCGC